rnacentral:misc_RNA from 1 species
GGAAGUAAAAGUCGUAACUAGGUUUCCGUAGGUGAACCUGCGGAAGGAUCAUUAAUGAAUUUGAAAGGAGUUGUUGCUGGCUUGUCAACCCAAGCAUGUGCACACUCCAAUCUCAUCCAUCCUACACCUGUGCACCCUUGCGUGGGUCCGUCGGCUUUGCGGUCGUUCGGGCUUGCGUUUUUUCUAUAAACUCUUAUGUAUGUAACAGAAUGUCUUAAUGCUAUAAACGCAUCUUAUACAACUUUCAACAACGGAUCUCUUGGCUCUC